rnacentral:rRNA from 1 species
GGUUAAGCGACUAAGCGUACACGGUGGAUGCCCUGGCAGUCAGAGGCGAUGAAGGACGUGCUAAUCUGCGAUAAGCGUCGGUAAGGUGAUAUGAACCGUUAUAACCGGCGAUUUCCGAAUGGGGAAACCCAGUGUGAUUCGACACACUAUCAUUAACUGAAUCCAUAGGUUAAUGAGGCGAACCGGGGGAACUGAAACAUCUAAGUACCCCGAGGAAAAGAAAUCAACCGAGAUUCCCCCAGUAGCGGCGAGCGAACGGGGAGCAGCCCAGAGCCUGAAUCAGUGUGUGUGUUAGUGGAAGCGUCUGGAAAGGCGCGCGAUACAGGGUGACAGCCCCGUACACAAAAAUGCACAUGCUGUGAGCUCGAUGAGUAGGGCGGGACACGUGGUAUCCUGUCUGAAUAUGGGGGGACCAUCCUCCAAGGCUAAAUACUCCUGACUGACCGAUAGUGAACCAGUACCGUGAGGGAAAGGCGAAAAGAACCCCGGCGAGGGGAGUGAAAAAGAACCUGAAACCGUGUACGUACAAGCAGUGGGAGCACGCUUAGGCGUGUGACUGCGUACCUUUUGUAUAAUGGGUCAGCGACUUAUAUUCUGUAGCAAGGUUAACCGAAUAGGGGAGCCGAAGGGAAACCGAGUCUUAACUGGGCGUUAAGUUGCAGGGUAUAGACCCGAAACCCGGUGAUCUAGCCAUGGGCAGGUUGAAGGUUGGGUAACACUAACUGGAGGACCGAACCGACUAAUGUUGAAAAAUUAGCGGAUGACUUGUGGCUGGGGGUGAAAGGCCAAUCAAACCGGGAGAUAGCUGGUUCUCCCCGAAAGCUAUUUAGGUAGCGCCUCGUGAAUUCAUCUCCGGGGGUAGAGCACUGUUUCGGCAAGGGGGUCAUCCCGACUUACCAACCCGAUGCAAACUGCGAAUACCGGAGAAUGUUAUCACGGGAGACACACGGCGGGUGCUAACGUCCGUCGUGAAGAGGGAAACAACCCAGACCGCCAGCUAAGGUCCCAAAGUCAUGGUUAAGUGGGAAACGAUGUGGGAAGGCCCAGACAGCCAGGAUGUUGGCUUAGAAGCAGCCAUCAUUUAAAGAAAGCGUAAUAGCUCACUGGUCGAGUCGGCCUGCGCGGAAGAUGUAACGGGGCUAAACCAUGCACCGAAGCUGCGGCAGCGACGCUGAUGCGUUGUUGGGUAGGGGAGCGUUCUGUAAGCCUGCGAAGGUGUGCUGUGAGGCAUGCUGGAGGUAUCAGAAGUGCGAAUGCUGACAUAAGUAACGAUAAAGCGGGUGAAAAGCCCGCUCGCCGGAAGACCAAGGGUUCCUGUCCAACGUUAAUCGGGGCAGGGUGAGUCGACCCCUAAGGCGAGGCCGAAAGGCGUAGUCGAUGGGAAACAGGUUAAUAUUCCUGUACUUGGUGUUACUGCGAAGGGGGGACGGAGAAGGCUAUGUUGGCCGGGCGACGGUUGUCCCGGUUUAAGCGUGUAGGCUGGUUUUCCAGGCAAAUCCGGAAAAUCAAGGCUGAGGCGUGAUGACGAGGCACUACGGUGCUGAAGCAACAAAUGCCCUGCUUCCAGGAAAAGCCUCUAAGCAUCAGGUAACAUCAAAUCGUACCCCAAACCGACACAGGUGGUCAGGUAGAGAAUACCAAGGCGCUUGAGAGAACUCGGGUGAAGGAACUAGGCAAAAUGGUGCCGUAACUUCGGGAGAAGGCACGCUGAUAUGUAGGUGAAGUCCCUCGCGGAUGGAGCUGAAAUCAGUCGAAGAUACCAGCUGGCUGCAACUGUUUAUUAAAAACACAGCACUGUGCAAACACGAAAGUGGACGUAUACGGUGUGACGCCUGCCCGGUGCCGGAAGGUUAAUUGAUGGGGUUAGCGCAAGCGAAGCUCUUGAUCGAAGCCCCGGUAAACGGCGGCCGUAACUAUAACGGUCCUAAGGUAGCGAAAUUCCUUGUCGGGUAAGUUCCGACCUGCACGAAUGGCGUAAUGAUGGCCAGGCUGUCUCCACCCGAGACUCAGUGAAAUUGAACUCGCUGUGAAGAUGCAGUGUACCCGCGGCAAGACGGAAAGACCCCGUGAACCUUUACUAUAGCUUGACACUGAACAUUGAGCCUUGAUGUGUAGGAUAGGUGGGAGGCUUUGAAGUGUGGACGCCAGUCUGCAUGGAGCCGACCUUGAAAUACCACCCUUUAAUGUUUGAUGUUCUAACGUUGACCCGUAAUCCGGGUUGCGGACAGUGUCUGGUGGGUAGUUUGACUGGGGCGGUCUCCUCCUAAAGAGUAACGGAGGAGCACGAAGGUUGGCUAAUCCUGGUCGGACAUCAGGAGGUUAGUGCAAUGGCAUAAGCCAGCUUGACUGCGAGCGUGACGGCGCGAGCAGGUGCGAAAGCAGGUCAUAGUGAUCCGGUGGUUCUGAAUGGAAGGGCCAUCGCUCAACGGAUAAAAGGUACUCCGGGGAUAACAGGCUGAUACCGCCCAAGAGUUCAUAUCGACGGCGGUGUUUGGCACCUCGAUGUCGGCUCAUCACAUCCUGGGGCUGAAGUAGGUCCCAAGGGUAUGGCUGUUCGCCAUUUAAAGUGGUACGCGAGCUGGGUUUAGAACGUCGUGAGACAGUUCGGUCCCUAUCUGCCGUGGGCGCUGGAGAACUGAGGGGGCUGCUCCUAGUACGAGAGGACCGGAGUGGACGCAUCACUGGUGUUCGGGUUGUCAUGCCAAUGGCACUGCCCGGUAGCUAAAUGCGGAAGAGAUAAGUGCUGAAAGCAUCUAAGCACGAAACUUGCCCCGAGAUGAGUUCUCCCUGACCCUUUAAGGGUCCUGAAGGAACGUUGAAGACGACGACGUUGAUAGGCCGGGUGUGUAAGCGCAGCGAUGCGUUGAGCUAACCGGUACUAAUGAACCGUGAGGCUUAACCUUAC